UGCAAGUCGAGCGGAUGACGGGAGCUUGCUCCUUGAUUCAGCGGCGGACGGGUGAGUAAUGCCUAGGAAUCUGCCUGGUAGUGGGGGACAACGUUUCGAAAGGAACGCUAAUACCGCAUACGUCCUACGGGAGAAAGCAGGGGACCUUCAGGCCUUGCGCUAUCAGAUGAGCCUAGGUCGGAUUAGCUAGUUGGUGGGGUAAUGGCUCACCAAGGCGACGAUCCGUAACUGGUCUGAGAGGAUGAUCAGUCACACUGGAACUGAGACACGGUCCAGACUCCUACGGGAGGCAGCAGUGGGGAAUAUUGGACAAUGGGCGAAAGCCUGAUCCAGCCAUGCCGCGUGUGUGAAGAAGGUCUUCGGAUUGUAAAGCACUUUAAGUUGGGAGGAAGGGCAGUAAGUUAAUACCUUGCUGUUUUGACGUUACCGACAGAAUAAGCACCGGCUAACUCUGUGC
rnacentral:rRNA from 1 species